CACAGGUUUGUAUGGUGUCCAAUUUCUCCUUCUAAAAAUUAGGCUCCAGCAGGUAAACUGGGUCCUGCAGAGCAGUGCUCCAACAGAGAGGAUUAGGUACCGAUCCCCAUAUCCAUCCUCCAUUUCUUUAGAAGAGAAGCCCCGGUGUUUAGAUACUCAGCUAGACAUGGUCUGCACAUUCUAGUCAGCGAGCUCUAAGACAAAGUGUCAUGUGUCCACGAUGGCAGGGAUGGCAGUUAAACAAAGGCUCAGCAAGAUGGACUUUCACUCACAAAGGCUGGCCCAGGUAUCUGGCAGCAGUGAGUACACUGAGUCCCCAAAUGGCACCGUUACCUGGAGUGAUCAGCCAGCUUUCUAGGGCCAGGUUGAUUACAGUCCAGCUUUCUAGUGGCAGGUUGAUUACAGUGGACCACUUUCAUCAUGGACGAGGCAACACGUUUUUACUGGAAGAAACACUUACUCUGGAUAUGGGUUUGUCUUCCCGGAAUGCAAUGCUUCUGUUAAAACUGUCACAUGUGGACUUAUAGAAUGUCUUAUCCACUGUCAUGGUAUGCCACACAGCACUUCUGGUCAAGGAACUCAGUUGACAGCAAAUGACGUGAGGCCAAGGAACCCGUGCUCACCCAAUCCACUGGUGUUACCAGGUUACCCACCAUCCUGAAGCAGCAGGCUUGACCCGCAGAAAUGGAGAACACGCAAAGGACAGAGAGGGGCAUCAGGAGCCAACACACAGAGAAAAGACCAUGUGAGGACACAGCAAAAAGACAGCCGCCUGCAAGACCAGAAGAGGCCUCAGGAGAAAUCCACCUGCCAGCACCUUGAUAUUGGACUUCCCACCUCCAGAACUGUCCCUGUUCCAGCGCCACUUGACGGUGCCUGCCGUCGAAGUCGAACAGUCUGAAGGGGAGGCGUGGAGC